CUAAGAAUAUUCCGCAAUGGACGAAAGUCUGACGGAGCGACGCCGCGUGGAUGAAGAAGGCCGCAAGGUUGUAAAAUCCUUUUGCUGGGGAAGAAUAAGCGCAGGAGGGAAUGCCUGCGUGAUGACAUGAACCGGCGAAUAAGCCCCGGCCAACUACGUGCCAGCAGCCGCGGUAACACGUAGGGGGCAAGCGUUGUUCGGAAUUACUGGGCGUAAAGGGCAUGUAGGCGGUUUAGUAAGCUUGGCGUGAAAGACCACGGCUUAACUGUGGGGUUGCGUUGAGAACUGCUGAACUUGAGUUACGGAGAGGGAGCUAGAAUUCCUGGUGUAGGGGUGGAAUCUGUAGAGAUCAGGAAGAAUACCGAUGGCGAAGGCAAGCUUCUGGCCGAUAACUGACGCUGAGGUGCGAAAGUGUGGGGAUCAAACA
rnacentral:rRNA from 1 species